UUUUCUUUAUCAUCUUCACAUCAUCUCCAUUCUCUCUCUAUCUCUUUCUCUCCUCUUCCCCUUUCCCAAAUGAAAAACUGAAGAAAUCACCAUUUCCCGAUGGUUGCAUCACUUGUGCCUCUACCACUGCCGAUGUCUUCAACUUCAAUCGUCUCUCUGUCUGCAACUUCAGUCAUCUCUCUGUUUGCAACUUUAAUUGAUCUCAAUGCCGCCGCUUAAUGAUGCGAUGACAGGUGUUGAGAGGUGGCGGAUCUACGAUAUUGUUAAUAUCUUGGACUUGGGACUUGGGAAAGAAGGAGAAGGAGUCGAAGAGGCUUUCAAGUUGGGAACUGAAAUGGCUGAUUAAUGAGGGUUAUGAAGACAGGGUUUGUGGCCGUGUACGGGUUCGACUACCAACUUUUUUGUAUUUGUUAUUUUUGAUUUUUUUUUUCAACCAUGUUUCUUUCAUAGAGUAAACUGUCAUUUAACCCCCUGAACUAUCACGUGAGUUUCAAUUUCCCCCUGAACUAUUUUUUCAGCCAAUUGACCCCCUAAACUAUGUUAAAGUGGCCAAUUAACCCCUUACCGUUAAGUAUCUUUAACUCCAUCCAAUUUUCUGUUAGAAAGUGUCAUGUGCUUGGCACAUGACCACCUUUUUACAUUUUAUGUCUAAAUCUUUACAAAGAAAACAUAUAAAACAAAUAUUAAAAAAAAAAAACAUACAAACCCUAAACUUAAUCAUUCAAAAUAAUAGAAAA